rnacentral:rRNA from 1 species
UACGUAGGGACCAAGCGUUGUUCGGAUUUACUGGGCGUAAAGGGCGCGUAGGCGGCUUGUCAAGUCACUUGUGAAAUCUCUGGGCUUAACCCAGAACGGCCAAGUGAAACUGUCAUGCUAGAGUGCAGAAGGGGCAAUCGGGAAUUCUUGGUGUAGCGGUGAAAUGCGUAGAUAUCAAGAGGAACACCUGAGGUGAAGACGGGGUUGCUGGGCUGACACUGACGCUGAGGCGCGAAAGCCAGGGGAGCAAACGGGG